GUUGUUGUGCGGGAUCAGGUGGUACGAACUUCAAGCCGACGAUUACUUCACCUUUGUAAGCGAUUGGAUCGUCGAAUGGUUCUGUCUAUACAGAUAAUAUAUUAACCGUUGAUUAACGCGUUGCACAAGAGAAGCGCAUAAUAACGGUGCAAUUUUAUCAGUCGUAGUACAGUGGAAAAAUCGUCGUCAUGCUCGAGAUAUGCUCGCAUUAUAAUUGCAUACAACGUGCAAACGUGGUUUUCAAAGAACUAACGCAUUUCGAAAGAUUUUCCUUGAAUAAUAAUGUUCAAGUUCAAACACAACGAUCUACUGAACAAAAUAACAACGAUAGAUUAUUAUUUAUAUAUCGGAUCUAUGGAUCUCGACACGUAAUAGCACUUACUGUCGGUACUUGCGAAUUGCGUUAUAACCAUUGAACGCAGUUAGAUCCAAGAAAACUGUUAUAAACGUAAGUAUAUAGGAUAGUAAUUGAACGAUUAUAUGAUAAAACUUACUCUUUC